rnacentral:rRNA from 1 species
AUUGAACGCUGGCGGCAGGCCUAACACAUGCAAGUCGAACGGUAACAGGAAGAAGCUUGCUUCUUUGCUGACGAGUGGCGGACGGGUGAGUAAUGUCUGGGAAACUGCCUGAUGGAGGGGGAUAACUACUGGAAACGGUAGCUAAUACCGCAUAAUGUCGCAAGACCAAAGAGGGGGACCUUCGGGCCUCUUGCCAUCGGAUGUGCCCAGAUGGGAUUAGCUAGUAGGUGGGGUAACGGCUCACCUAGGCGACGAUCCCUAGCUGGUCUGAGAGGAUGACCAGCCACACUGGAACUGAGGCACGGUCCAGACUCCUACGGGAGGCAGCAGUGGGGAAUAUUGCACAAUGGGCGCAAGCCUGAUGCAGCUAUGCCGCGUGUAUGAAGAAGGCCUUCGGGUUGUAAAGUACUUUCAGCGGGGAGGAAGGGAGUAAAGUUAAUACCUUGGCUCAUUGACGUUACCCGCAGAAGAAGCACCGGCUAACUCCGUG